UACGUAGGUGGCAAGCGUUGUCCGGAAUUAUUGGGCGUAAAGAGCGCGCAGGCGGCUGGUCAAGUCCGAUGUGAAAGCUCCCGGCUUAACUGGGAAAUUGCAUCGGAAACUGAUCGGCUUGAAGGUGGGAGAGGGUAGUGGAAUUCCCGGUGUAGUGGUGAAAUGCGUAGAUAUCGGGAGGAACACCAGUGGCGAAGGCGACUACCUGGCCCACUCUUGACGCUGAGGCGCGAAAGCUAGGGGAGCGAACGGG
rnacentral:rRNA from 1 species